AACGAACGCUGGCGGCAGGCUUAACACAUGCAAGUCGAACGCCCCGCAAGGGGAGUGGCAGACGGGUGAGUAACACGUGGGAACGUGCCCUAAGGUUCGGAAUAUUCCCGGGAAGCUGGGAGCAAUACCGAAUGUGUCCGAGAGGAGAAAGAUUUAUCGCCUUAGGAUCGGCCCGCGUCGGAUUAGCUAGUUGGUGGGGUAAUGGCCUACCAAGGCGACGAUCCGUAGCUGGUCUGAGAGGACGACCAGCCACACUGGGACUGAGACACGGCCCAGACUCCUACGGGAGGCAGCAGUGGGGAAUCUUGGACAAUGGGCGCAAGCCUGAUCCAGCCAUGCCGCGUGGAUGAUGAAGGCCUUAGGGUUGUAAAAUCCUUUCGCCGAGGACGAUAAUGACGGUACUCGGAGAAGAAGCUCCGGCUAACUUCGUGCCAGCCGCCGCAGUAAUAC
rnacentral:rRNA from 1 species